UAGAUACCCUAUUAUUAUAAAAUGAUAAAUUGGGAGUACUUAAAGGUUUGGAAAAACUAAGUAAAAUGGCGGUAUUUUAAUCUUUUUAGAGGAAUUUAUUCUAUAAUUGAUAUAACUCAGGUAUCUUACUUAAUUUGGUAAGGCAGUUUGUAUAUCGCUAUCAUAGUAUAAUGUUAAUAGGCUUUAUUGUAAAUGUUGAUUUUUUUUAAAAAUGUUAGGUCAAAAUGCAGCAUAAAAUUAAGGAUGAAAUAAAUUACAGGAAUUAAUAUUGAUUUUAUUGAAAGUAAAUUAUGGAUUUAAGAGUAAAUUUAAAUUAUAAUGU
rnacentral:rRNA from 1 species